CGCCUGUUUAACAAAAACAUCUCUUUUUGAGCAUAAAUAAAAAGUUUAACCUGCCCACUGAUAAAAUUAAAUGGCCGCAGUAUAUUAACUGUGCAAAGGUAGAAUAAUCAUUAGUCUUUUAAUUGAAGGCUGGAAUGAAUGGUUGGACGAAAUAUUUACUGUUUCAUAUUAAUUUUUGAUAAAAUUUUAUUUUUUAGUAAAAAAGCUAAAAUAAUAUUAAAAGACGAGAAGACCCUAUAAAUCUUUAUAUUUUAAUUAAUUUUUAUAAAUUAGAAAUUAAAUUAUUUAAUUUAAUUUAAAUAUUUUAUUGGGGUGAUAUUAAAAUUUAAUUAACUUUUAAUUUUAUUGAACAUUAAUUUAUGAAUUAUUGAUCCAAUAAUAUUGCUUAUUAGCAUAAGUUACUUUUGGGAUAACAGCGUAAUUUUUUUGGAGAGUUCAUAGUGCUACAUUAUCUUGCGACCUCGAUGUUGGAUUAAGAAAUAAAUUUAGGCGCAGAAGCUUAAAAAAUUAAACUCCCGAUCGUUCAGA
rnacentral:rRNA from 1 species